AUAUUACCUGCAGUGUAUUGGAGAGAACAGGGAUCGCAGCUGAAAGCUAGGAUAAACACAGAAUUGUCUUCUUGUCAAGCAGCAAUAGCAGUGCAGAUAAAGAGCCUCGUUUCUCUUGAUUUGGAUGGGAAAUCUUCCAAAGAUGUAUUGCGUCGAACACUUGCCUUACUCCUGGAUGCUGCUGAAGCUUGUAUACUCUCUUUAUGGUGGAAAUUGAAAAUAUGUGAGGAGCUGUUCAGGACAUUACUCGGUGGAAUCAGCCAAAUAGCACUGUCUUGCGGAGGCCAGCUCUUGAGAGUGUUGCACAUUCCUCUGAAGCCCCUUGUCCUGACCGCUUGUGCUCGGAUGGAAAAAAAAAAACAGGCUGUUCCUGUUGUGCAGCUCAAUCGUAUGUCUUCUUGCUGACUUGAGCUCAUCCAUUAAAAAGUGGGAAGUUAUAGACAUGAUAUUUCCCCUCUUCAUUGAGAGUCUUGAAGAAGGUGAUAGCUUCUGCUCCAUGUUUAUUGCGUCUCCGAGUAUGAACCCUUGUCUCUUAAGAAUGUAUAUGCUAGUGAAUAAUGCUGUUUGUCUUUUUUGCGCUUUGCUUAGUAUUUGAUAUAUCAUUUCAAUUGCUUCUGUGGUAACUAUUGUCAUCCAUAUUGUGGCAAUCAAGUUCAACUGUUUUCAUAAAUGUUUCAGCUACUUGAUGCGGUAUCUCGCAUGGUUUGUUUGGGUUUUGAUUAGUCUUAUCGUGAGACAAUAGUUCUAGUGACCAGAAACUAUUUAGAUGAACUCAAGAAUGUCGGAUUGGAAGAAGGCAAAACACUGCCCCCAAGAAACUACUACAGAGCGUGUAGAAGUAUGUGUUUAGGUGUUUCUUUGUAGUUUGGACUACAGAUUAUGUGCUAUUUUGCAGGCUUGUAACUUCUCAUAGUUUUGCUAACUUCUUCAGUUUAUAUUUUAGAGACUCCCUGCAGGGUUUCUUCUGGUUGCCUCUCGUCUUAGUAGCUCAAAACUGAGGUCUGAUUACCGCCAAUAGGCUAUGGUCUUCAUGCUCUUAUGUGGCAGUGGCUUGCCGAAUCAAAAAGUGGAAGGUAGAGUGCUGAUGGGUGUCAGGCUUUUAUGUCAACCUUAUUGCACUGCACGCCUAUCCGCAUACCAUGUCUUGUUAGGGCCUUGACGCCUGAGCAGCCACCUGAUUGUGUUUGGUAUUGCUGAUUAAUAUGGAUGAUGCAGAGAAUAUUGAGCGAGCACCGGGUGCUGGCGUGGCGUGCCGUGCCGUCUUAGAUCAUAGCAGCCUUGGGAAUGUUUGGACUUUGGAGUUUUGGUUACUUAAAAAGGAUCAUCUGGAGUUCUUUUCCGUUUUGACUCUUUUCUUCCUUUUUCUCAGUAUAAUGCUUUCGGAUUUGCAGGAGUGGUGCUGAUUUCUUGGGGCCAUUAUUGCCUGCAGUUGUCGAAAUUUGCUUUGAGUUUGAUCCUGCAGCCAAUGUUGAGCCUUCUCUACUAAAGCUGUUUCGAAAUCUAUGCUUCUAUAUUGUCUUGUUCGGCUUAGCACCACCAAUUCAACAAAAUCAGAUACCGACAAAACCAGGGUCCACGUCAUUGAACACUCUGGAAGCAUUGACACGACAGCUCUUCAAGCUGUAGCUUGGCCAUACUUGUGGAAUGGGGAAUGGUCUGUGGCUGUUCAACACAUUGCAAAAGGAACACCACCAUCGAUUCAACCUAGCCUUUAACACGAUGCUCAGUUUACCGCGGUGGUCUGCAUUUCGCACCAGCUACGUUUUAGAUAGAUUCAACCUAGACGGUGUUCUCUCGAAGAGGCCCACGCUUAUUGUGUUGAACGUCCAUCCCUUUCCAAGACAAACUGAUUUGAUGCUUGAGAGCUGCCUUUUCUAAUGUACCUGGGAUGAUCUCUACCUUUGAUGUGUUAGAGCGACAUGUCUUCUUGGAGUUGCUUUUUUGGAGAUACUACGGUUUAGUUGUAAUGGUGGUGUACUCUGUGUUGACUCCUCUUUAACUACAUUAAGAAGUGCAUUCAGUUAUGUGUUCGAGUAUCUACUUACUCCAAACUUGGUGUCACCAGUGUUUCAAUGCUUAACUGCCUGCAAUUGUAUAUAGAUCUUUGGAAGCGGCAGUGUCACGGCUGGUAAGCUUUUGCACCUUUUUAUUAUACACACUUUUCUUUUCUUUCAAAUUUUGCUCAAAAUAUUUUUUUCUUCAUAUUUAUUUUAUUCUAAUUUUUUUGUCAACCAUGGAUGUAGAUAUUAACAAAGGAGAUCUUAGAUUCUCAUACUUAAGUACAACGUUUGAGGAACUCUCUUGUCCAUCUCUGUGAAUCAUAUCAGAUGUAUAAGCAAUGAACACCACCAAUUCUGUAGUAUAGUUUUAAUUAUCAAAUGGAAUGACUUCACAUGCAAAUAUUUUUGGGAACCGAGGCUGAGGCUUCCCAUCACACAUGCUGAAACUCUUGCCUUGCAGUUUCAUGUUA